GUGCUCAAUUCGGCAGCACAUAUACUAAAACUGGAACAAUACAGAGAUUAGCAUGGCACCUGCACAAGGAUGACACACAAAUUCAUAUUUUU
rnacentral:snRNA from 1 species